rnacentral:snoRNA from 1 species
CCAGUGGAUGACGAGUCGCUUGUGUCUUACAUUCUCGUUGGACUCGACAUCGACUACAAUCCUCUGGUAUCCACUGUUGUUGGUCGUUCUGAUCCAAUCUCUUUGAGUGACUUGUAUUCACAGAUGGUGAGCUAUGACA